rnacentral:ncRNA from 1 species
UGCGAAUCAUCAGGUGUCGGUUCCCAAGAGGACUAAUAGGGAAUGUGGUGAGGGCAUGCCGCCCGAUGCCACAACUGCCCCCGCAACUGUAAGCGACGAGGCGUGGUCCUAAGUGCCACUGGAGGUGCUACUCCGGGAAGGCGGGCCGCAUACCUAUGACUCGCGAGUCAGUAGACCUGCCGACAGCCGUAGUCACGC